rnacentral:rRNA from 1 species
CAGCCGCCACGGUAAUACGAAGGGUGCAAGCGUUACUCGGAAUUACUGGGCGUAAAGCGUGUGUAGGUGGUUGUUUAAGUCUGUCGUGAAAGCCCUGGGCUCAACCUGGGAAUUGCGAUGGAUACUGGGCGACUAGAGUGCGGUAGAGGAUAGUGGAAUUUCCGGUGUAGCAGUGAAAUGCGUAGAGAUCGGAAGGAACAUCUGUGGCGAAGGCGACUAUCUGGGCCAACACUGACACUGAGACACGAAAGCGUGGGGAGCAAACAGGAUUAGAUACCCCCGUAGUCCCUGUCUCUUAUAC